UACGUAGGGUGCAAGCGUUAAUCGGAAUUACUGGGCGUAAAGCGUGCGCAGGCGGUUUUGUAAGUCUGUCGUGAAAUCCCCGGGCUUAACCUGGGAAUGGCGAUGGAGACUGCAAGGCUGGAGUUUGGCAGAGGGGGGUAGAAUUCCACGUGUAGCAGUGAAAUGCGUAGAGAUGUGGAGGAAUACCGAUGGCGAAGGCAGCCCCCUGGGAUAACACUGACGCUCAUGCACGAAAGCGUGGGGAGCAAACAGG
rnacentral:rRNA from 1 species